GACCGUUUAGCUCAGUGGUUUAGAGCGUGUGCCUCACAGCUAUCGUAAGAUUUCGUUACGAUAGAACAUAUGGACGCACAAGGUCGCAGGUUCGAACCCUGCAUCGGUCA